ACCAGCCCUAGCCCAAACAACCUAAACACGAAAAGAUCCACCUAACCCUUAAAUUAAACCAUUCAGUCAACCUUAAAAGUAUAGGAGACAGAAAUUUUACACAGGCGCUAUAGAGACAGUACCGUAAGGGAAAGAUGAAAGAAAAGACCCUAGUACUAAACAGCAAAGACUUCCCCUUGUACCUUUUGCAUAAUGAACUAACCAGAACAACUUUGACAAAGAGAACUUCAGCCAAUACCCCGAAACCAGACGAGCUACUCACAGGCAGUCACAAGGACAAACUCACCUAUGUAGCAAAAUAGUGAGAAGACCUAUGAGUAGAGGUGAAACGCCAACCGAGCCUGGUGAUAGCUGGAAGUCCAAGCAGAAUUUCAGUUCAACUUUAAACUUACCUAAAGAACAACAAUACUCCUAACGUAAGUUUAAAUGCUAGUCUAAAGGGGUACAGCUCUUUAGACACGGGACUCAACCCCCAGUAGAGAGUAAACCACAAAUCACCCAUAGUUGGCCCAAAAGCAGCCACCAUUAAGAAAGCGUUCAAGCUCAAAUUAACCAACAAAACUCAAUACCCACCAUCCCUACCAAACUCCUACCACCUAACUGGACUAAUCUAUAUCCAUAUAGAAGCAAUACUGUUAGUAUGAGUAACAAGAACCCCGUUCUCCCCGCAUAAACCUAUAUCAGACCGAAUGCCCACUGAUAAUUAACAGCAUAAUAAAAACUGCCCAACCAGAAUCCACUUAUUCACCCAACUGUUAACCCAACACAGGCAUGCAUAAAGGAAAGAUUAAAAGAAGCAGAAGGAACUCGGCAAACAUAAACCCGCCUGUUUACCAAAAACAUCACCUCUAGCAUAACAAGUAUUAGAGGCACUGCCUGCCCAGUGACACAGUUCAACGGCCGCGGUAUCCUGACCGUGCAAAGGUAGCAUAAUCAUUUGUUCCUUAAUUAGGGACUUGCAUGAAAGGCCACACGAGGGUUUUACUGUCUCCUGCCUCCAAUCAGUGAAAUUGACCUCCCCGUGAAGAGGCGGGGAUGCAAAAAUAAGACGAAAAGACCCUAUGGAGCUUCAAUUAACUAGCCCAAGCAAAACAAUACAAACCUAACCCAGGCAUCAACAACACAAACUCUCUGAGCUAGGAAUUUCGGUUGGGGCGACCUCGGAAUAAAAAACAACCUCCGAAUGACCAUGACUUAAACUAACCAGUUAAAGUAAUAAAUUCAUCAAUUGAUCCAAAGCAAUUUGAUCAACGGAACAAGUUACCCUAGGGAUAACAGCGCAAUUCUAUUAUAGAGUCCAUAUCGACAAUAGAGUUUACGACCUCGAUGUUGGAUCAGGACACCCCAAUGGUGCAGCAGCUAUUAAAGGUUCGUUUGUUCAACGAUUAAAGUCCUACGUGAUCUGAGUUCAGACCGGAGCAAUCCAGGUCGGUUUCCAUCUAUUAAUAUAUUUCUCCCAGUACGAAAGGACAAGAGAAAUAAGGCCUACCCCUAAGAGGACGCCUUCAGCUUCAAUGGAUGAUUUAAUCUCAACCCAGCCCACUUUCCCCCCCCCCGGCCCAAGAACAGGGCUU
rnacentral:rRNA from 1 species